UAUCCUUUGUUGCCAGCGAUUAGGUCGGGAACUCAAAGGAGACUGCCAGUGAUAAACUGGAGGAAGGUGGGGAUGACGUCAAGUCAUCAUGGCCCUUACGACCAGGGCUACACACGUGCUACAAUGGCGCAUACAAAGAGAAGCGACCUCGCGAGAGCAAGCGGACCUCAUAAAGUGCGUCGUAGUCCGGAUUGGAGUCUGCAACUCGACUCCAUGAAGUCGGAAUCGCUAGUAAUCGUGGAUCAGAAUGCCACGGUGAAUACGUUCCCGGGCCUUGUACACACCGCCCGUCACACCAUGGGAGUGGGUUGCAAAAGAAGUAGGUAGCUUAACCUUCGGGAGGGCGCUUACCACUUUGUGAUUCAUGACUGGGGUGAAGUCGUAACAAGGUAACCGUAGGGGAACCUGC
rnacentral:rRNA from 4 species